UACGAAGGGGGCAAGCGUUGUUCGGAAUUACUGGGAGUAAAGGGCGCGUAGGCGGCUUACCAAGUCAGGCGUGAAAUUCCCGGGCUCAACCUGGGGGCUGCGCUUGAUACUGGUGAGCUUGAAUGCGGGAGAGGAUAGUGGAAUUCCCAGUGUAGAGGUGAAAUUCGUAGAUAUUGGGAAGAACACCGGUGGCGAAGGCGGCUAUCUGGCCCGUAAUUGACGCUGAGGCGCGAAAGCGUGGGGAGCAAACAGG
rnacentral:rRNA from 1 species